rnacentral:misc_RNA from 1 species
GAUGAAGAACGUAGCAAAGUGCGAUAAGUAAUGUGAAUUGCAGAAUUCAGUGAAUCAUCGAAUCUUUGAACGCACAUUGCGCCCGCCAGUAUUCUGGCGGGCAUGCCUGUUCGAGCGUCAUUUCAACCCUCAAGCACAGCUUGGUGUUGGGACUCGCGUUAAUUCGCGUUCCUCAAAUUGAUUGGCGGUCACGUCGAGCUUCCAUAGCGUAGUAGUAAAACCCUCGUUACUGGUAAUCGUCGCGGCCACGCCGUUAAACCCCAACUUCUGAAUGUUGACCUCGGAUCAGGUAGGAAUACCCGCUGAACUUAAGCAUAUCAAUAAGCGGAGGA